rnacentral:rRNA from 1 species
GCUUGUCUCAAAGAUUAAGCCAUGCAUGUCUAAGUAUAAACAGAUUAUACUGUGAAACUGCGUACGGCUCAUUAAACCAGUUAUAGUUUAUUUGAUAUUCCCCUACUACUCGGAUACCCGUAGUAAUUCUAGAGCUAAUACAUGCGUAAAAUCCUGACUUUCUUGGAAGGGAUGUAUAUAUUAGAAUGAAACCAAUCGGCUUCGGCUGUAUUGUGGUGAGUCAUAAUAUCUAAUCGGAUCGCAGAGGCUUCGGCCGGCGAUGAAUCAUUCAAGUUUCUGCCCUAUCAGCUUUCGAUGGUAGUGUAUUGGACUACCAUGGCGGUGACGGGUAACGAAGAAUAAGGGUUCGGUUUCGGAGAGGGAGCCUGAGAGAUGGCUACCACAUCCAAGGAAGGCAGCAGG